CGCUCUGAGGGAGCCCGGGAGGGGCCGCGCACAACGUCCCCAAAUUGCCCCAAAUUUCCCCAAUUCCGUCCCGGGGCUGGGGCCGGAGGGGGGCCAGCAGCCUCCGGUGCUGCCCCGGAACUCCCCAGAAGGAGGAGGAGCCGCCUGAGCAGCGCCGCUUAUCCCGGAAUCACUGAGGUUGGAAUCUUCGGGAUCACCGAGGCCCAGCUGGGCCCGAUCCCCACCCUGACACUGAGUGCAACCUCCGGGACCCUCCAGGGAACUCCCCAGCUUGCGAACCGAACCUCUGAUUUGAGAUCUGCCUUAAAAACCUGGAAAAGCCUCUGGAUUCAGCCAUCCAGGAGAUGGGAAUGGAGCAGGGACCGGGACAUUUCUCCAGAGUUCAUCCCUCAUUUCUCCAGCCUCCCAGUGAAUCCAUUUAGGAGCCUGAUUUCCACACCCCAACGAGAACUUGGAGCAGCAGCUGGGAGCGAAUUCCCCCUAAACCGUCCCCAGAGCUCCAUGGAGUCCAUCCAAGAGGCGUCACCUUGGACUUCUAGGGAAUCCCGGGAAUUCCUUGUGGUGGUUGAGGAACAGCAGCUAAAGCCCAGCUCAGCUCAGAGAUCCUUCAGGAGAUCCCUUUGGAGUCUCCACCCCGAUGAGUGGGUUUGGAGUGGCAGCAGGAGACCAUGGAGCAGCGGGAUGUGGAUGCCGGAGGUGAUCCAAGGCCAUGCUGGAAGUCCUGGAUCUGCGCUGUGGCCAGUGAUCCUCCAGGGAGCUGGAGAAAGCCUUUUUGGGAUUUUGGGAUUCAAGGUCCCCCUGGAUUAUCCCACAGGGAGAAUGAUGUUAAGGAUGGGAGGAGGGAAGUGCGGGAUGGGGUCGUUUUCCAUGGGGUGGGAUGCACCGAGGGAUCCCUCGCGGAGAGCGCAGAAGUGUCGGUCAGCGCUGGAAUUCCAGAGAAAAACCCGGCUCUGUCCCAUUCCUGCAUGCCCUCCAUCUCCAACCAGGCAGCGGAAACAUUCCCGGCCCCACAGCGGAACGGAACAGACGGAGCUCAUCCCAAGGGAAAGA